UACGUAGGGGGCAAGCGUUGUCCGGAAUCAUUGGGCGUAAAGAAGCGUGUAGGCGGCUCGAUAAGUCUGCUGUGAAAGUCCAGGGCUCAACCCUGGAAGGCCGGUGGAAACUGUCGGGCUAGAGUCCGGAAGAGGCGAGUGGAAAUUCCCGGUGUAGCGGUGAAAAUGCGCAGAUAUCAGGAGGAACACCGGUGGCGAAGGCGGGUCUCUGGGUAGUAACUGACGCUGAGGAACGAAAGCGUGGGUAGCAAACAGG
rnacentral:rRNA from 1 species